rnacentral:miRNA from 7 species
AGGCAGCGGGGUGUAGUGGAUA